UUUUGUUUUUUGUGUUUUGUUUUCAUGUGAAUGAGAAGAUGAACAAUGUGGUGUUCAUGAAAUCAUAUUGUAUUUGAUUUCUAUUCAUUUUGCAUUUUUUUAUUUAUUCUUUUUUUUAUAUUACUUUCAUCAUUGGGUGCAUAAAAAUGACAACUAGUUGGACAUGGUGGAGUGGUUGAGACAAAGGUCUCCCAACCACCGUGUCCCGAUUUCAAACCCUUGCUACCAUUUUUUCACUUUUUUUGUUUAGUUGCAAUCAAUUUUUAUCAUGUGCUUAUUUAUUUCAUGUUAUUCUUUAGAUAAGACAAAGGUCUCCCAACCACCGU
rnacentral:lncRNA from 1 species